rnacentral:rRNA from 1 species
CAACAGGGAUUGCCUCAGUAACGGCGAGUGAAGCGGCAACAGCUCAAAUUUGAAAUCUGGCCUCUUUUGGGGUCCGAGUUGUAAUUUGUAGAGGAUGUUUCGGGUACGGUCCGGGCUUAAAUUUCUUGGAACAGAAUGUCAGAGAGGGUGAAAAUCCCGUCUGGAGUCUGCGACACGGCCUAUGUGAAACUCCUUCGACGAGUCGAGUUGUUUGGGAAUGCAGCUCUAAAUGGGUGGUAAAUUUCAUCUAAAGCUAAAUAUUGGCCAGAGACCGAUAGCGCACAAGUAGAGUGAUCGAAAGAUGAAAAGCACUUUGAAAAGAGAGUUAAACAGUAUGUGAAAUUGUUGAAAGGGAAGCGCUGGCAACCAGACUUGUCUGUCGUGGCUCCCCCUUGCUUCUGCUUGGGUUAUUCCACGGCGUGCAGGCCAACAUCGGUUUCGGGGGUUGGUUAAAGGCUCUGGGAAUGUACUUACCUCUCGGGGUAAACUUAUAGCCCAGGGUGUCAUGCAACCUCCCGGGACCGAGGAACGCGCUUCGGCUCGGAUGUUGGCGUAAUGGUUGUCAGCGACCCGUCUUGAAACACGGACCAAGGAGUCUAACAUCUAUGCGAGUGUUAGGGUGUCAAACCCUUACGCGGAAUGAAAGUGAACGGAGGUAGGAAGCCUUAAGGCUGCACUAUCGACCGAUCCUGAAGUUUACGGAUGGAUUUGAGUAAGAGCAUAGCUGUUGGGACCCGAAAGAUGGUGAACUAUGCCUGAAUAGGGUGAAGCCAGAGGAAACUCUGGUGGAGGCUCGCAGCGGUUCUGACGUGCAAAUCGAUCGUCAAAUUUGGGUAUAGGGGCGAAAGACUAAUCGAACC